UUCGACAGAUCGUAACAGCUGUUGUAGCCGUUCUGGCGACCCUUGCAUCGGCCGGAUAUCUCGGUGGAUACGGAGGCUACGGUGGUGGCUACGGAUUGGGCCACGGCGGUGGCUACGGCGGUGGCUACGGAUUGGGACACGGUGGCUACGGGGGAGGCUAUGGUGGCGGCUACGGAGGUGGCUUGGGACACGGUGGAUACGGGCUGGUCGUCGGCCUCGGCCACGGAGGAUAUGGUGGACAUGGCUACGGGGGAGGACUCGGAUACGGAGGACUGGGCUUCGGACACGGAUACGGAUUGAAGGGAUAAGCGACGGAUUUUGACUCAUAGAAAGAAAACUUGGGGCCAACGCACCUUCUGCACUGCAACUUCUGUAAAUUAUUGCCUGCUCUUUUUUGAAAUGACCUGUCACCUCCCACCACGAGUCAUGUGUUGUGCGUCAUUCGAUUGUAUAAAAGUUCUAAAAUAAAAGUACACGUAGAAA